rnacentral:misc_RNA from 1 species
ACAAAUUCAAGCUCAGCUUGGUGAUGGGUGUCUGUCCCGCCGUCGCGCGUGGACUCGCCUUAAAUGCAGUUGGCAGCUCCUCCCUCGGCUCUAAACGCAGCAGAAUUGUGUCGAGCGCCUUGAGGAUGGGCUUUCCAAGAAGCAAACCCCCCACA